rnacentral:rRNA from 1 species
GACAGAGGCCACAAGCGUUAGGCGGAGUCACUGGGCUUAAAGCGUGUGUAGGCGGAUCGUUAAGUGCCUUGUGAAAUCCCACAGCUUAACUGUGGAACUGCUUGGCAUACUGGCGGUCUUGAGCCAUCUAGGGGUUGCUGGAACAAACGGUGGAGCGGUGAAAUGCGUAGAUAUCGUUUGGAACGCCAAUGGUGAAAACAGGCAACUGGGGAUGUGCUGACGCUGAGACACGAAAGCCAGGGGAGCAAACGGG